UGGUACAGGCUCCGGAUUGGGUUUCUUUCGUAAACUACCGCAUCGUCGGUUAAACGCCUCUUUAAUGUCUCUCUGGAGGAUGUUUAACGAUAGUGCCGUUCCACUCGGUCUCAGUGAGCCUCUUUUUGAAAUUGGCGGACUCAACACAUCCUCGUCCGGAACAUUUCAAGGUCGUCCUCGACUAUGCCGAUCUCCUCUUCCUGGUGGGCCUGAUUGAAGUUCUCGAGAAUAAUGGCGAUGUACAUGUUGAUGACAAUCAUGUAGCUGAUGAUGAUGAACGAGGUGAAGUAGGUUAUCGCAAGAAGCGGAUAACCACAGUCGCCGUUUAUCUUCCGGCUCGUUGGUGUUGGAUCACAGUCCGGCCAUUGUACCAUCAAUGAUUCGAGAACGUCGUUCCAUCCGGCUGAAGUCAUCAGUCGAAACAACAACUGCAUGCUGCGCCCAAACGUCUCAAAGUUCACCUGCGCAGGAAUAUUCAGACUCACCAUAUCGUCGAGGGCCCCUUGUUUUCUGACAUGUCCAAAAACGGACAUACCGAUGAUCGCAUAGAUGAAAGUAAUGAGAGCGAGGAGUGCACCGAUGUUGAACAACGCUGGUAAACUGACGACCAGGGCGAAGAGGAGUUUCCGUAUGCCUUUGGCAGCUUUAAUGAGCCUCAAGAUCCUACCGAUUCUGAACACUCUCACGACACGCAGGAGCGUCGGGGACACGGGAAAAUCAAUCAUAAUGUCCUCCAUGAGGAUACCGAGAAUCGAAGCUAACACUAGGACGAAAUCGAAGAGGUUCCACGCACGAAGAAUAUUGGAUGCGGCUGGUUGUAGUGCUCUAUACCCAUUGUCAGCAUAUUGAGAAAUAUCAACACGAAGAUUGCUAUCUCGAAUCUGAAAUUAUUCACCGAUUAAUCGGACCGAAUUCUCUCUACCGACUUUAUUCUAUCAACACAAAAGCGAGAAUUUAAGAAAAAUCUGACAUGUCAAUGAGUUCUCCUUCCGGUACUUUUUCUUUCGGACGAUUGAUCUGAUGCGAUCGAAGGAUCGGGCGAGCUUCGAGUCCUCGCCGACCUCCUCCUUCUUCUGUUUCAAUUCUUCCGAAUUGAAGCUGUUGAGCAACAAGGCCAAGAAGAGAUUGAGGACCAUGAAAUUGCCCAUCACCAGAGCCGAAUCAGAAACUAUUGGAAUCGAGGAAUGAUCAAAACAACUGUUUGGAGCGUCGUCGUAGAUGGCAAGGGAAUUCGUAUUUGUAUGGUAGAAAAAUCAGGAUCCUGGUUGUCCACGCAAGGCCUGCUUGCCAUCGAGGCGAUUAAAAAUAUUUUUGCAAUGACACACUAGGGCUCAGGCGGUAAAAACAAUGAUUUUGAGUGGUUAAAAUAAAUAAGAAUUAAUGGAGGCUCACCUAGA